rnacentral:tRNA from 1 species
AAGGGAGACCUAAUUCGGGUAGAAGACGAAAAAAUAGUAGUCGAAACCAAGAAUCAAUCCCAAAAGGUCGGGACGAGGUAUGUGGCUUUCAAACUAGGUUCUGGGUUCACAAAAGACCUGAAUCAGGAACAAGGGCUAUUAGCUCAGGCGGUUAGAGCGCACCCCUGAUAAGGGUGAGGUCCCUGGUUCGAGUCCAGGAUGGCCCACCUGCACAGGUGGCAAAAACAAGAGAAACGAGGAAUCAGCACCUUAUCUUACUUACAUAGUAAGAGAGAAUGCUGGCUCUGAGUAAAGAGUCCAGAGGAACCUUGAAAACUGCAUAGAGCUAGGUGAAAAAGCCAAAAAAGAAGACCGCAA